AACGAACGCUGGCGGCAGGCCUAACACAUGCAAGUCGAGCGCCGUAGCAAUACGGAGCUGCAGACGGGUGAGUAACACGUGGGAACGUGCCCAAAGGUACGGAACAACUCCGGGAAACUGGAGCUAAUACCGUAUGUGCCCGAGAGGGGAAAGAUUUAUCGCCUUUGGAUCGGCCCGCGUCUGAUUAGCUAGUUGGUGGGGUAAUGGCCCACCAAGGCGACGAUCAGUAGCUGGUCUGAGAGGAUGGCCAGCCACACUGGGACUGAGACACGGCCCAGACUCCUACGGGAGGCAGCAGUGGGGAAUAUUGGACAAUGGGCGCAAGCCUGAUCCAGCCAUGCCGCGUGAGUGAUGAAGGCCUUAGGGUUGUAAAGCUCUUUCGCCAGGGACGAUAAUGACGGUACCUGGAUAAGAAGCCCCGGCUAACUUCGUGCCAGCCGCCGCCGUAAAAC
rnacentral:rRNA from 1 species